CCCGACGCGGAAGUGUUGGAGGGAGCGGAUCCCGGGGGGCCAGGCCGGGCCCGUCCCGGGACUGCCGCUCCCGCAGUGUCGGGAGCUGCUUCGCCGCGGGGGGAAUACUGUAUAUCUUUCACUUGUUCUGCUCGCUGCCAGCGCAGUGUCCUGAGCCGGGCCGGCUGUGCGCGCUCGGGAGCUCUCCCCGGAGGCUGGGCGGCUCUGGGGGGCUCCGGUGCAGUGCAGGAUGUUCGUCCUCGGUUCCCUCCGUCCGAAAUAAGGCCGUGUACGUGUUUGACGUACUCGGGGUCUCCUCGCCGAGACACCACUAGCUGCGUGAGGACACGGAGUUGUGGGCUGGCUGCGCUGGCUCCAUUCCCUGGCACCUGCAAGAGGUAAGGUAGGGCAGGGAGGGAAGAGCACAGCGGGCACGGUCAUUACUGCCUGCCGCCCUUUGACAGACAGGAAAGGAGAGGGGAAUUUCCAGCACCUGGACUUGAGGACUUGAGUAAUGGAGAUUCUACUUCUGGCACUGGUUUAGCCAAUAGCAUUGAGCAAGUUACAGCCUUGCACUCCCUGUACCUUGGUUUUGUCUGUGAAAUGGAAAUAGUGCUGACGCCCCCCGCUAGAACUUUCAGAUCUGAGUGGAAAAUGUGUGGAAAAAACACUGGAGUGGCAUUAAUGAAUGUGGAAUUUUGAUCUAUUCCUGACUGCUGUUGUCUGUCUUCUACUUUGAUUUUUGCUUUGCACUUGAAACCAAAGUUAUUAAACUUUGAAAAUAAUAAACGUUCUUUAAAAAGU